CUAGCCCCGCCCUGCUCUGCCGACCAAUCCCGAGCGUCCUCGGCUUCCGGAGGCGUUCCCGCCGGCCGAGCGGUUAGGGCCGGCCGCUCUGUUGUUCGAUGGUUGCUAGGAGACUUCCUCCGGGGCCUGUCAAUCACGUUUCCGUAAACAGAACGUGCUGCAGAGCUUGGGAGUAACGCGAGGCGUGGGAAUUGAAAGGGACUCGGAACUUCUCCAAAAACUGGUCACCUCAGCUGGCGAUGGCAGACAGGGAGAGCGAGAGGCCAGAUGGGGACCAGGAGGAACAGAACGAGCUCCUCAGCUCUGAGCUGGACGAAGAGCCCAGCAGCUCGAGCUCGGGCCCCGCGCGGCUUCCCAGAGACCACUGCGACUUCCUGCUGGACGCCAUCGACGCCCAGCUCAGCCAGAUGCAGAGUGCCAGCUUCAGGAAGCAGGGCCAUGCUGGGAACUCACCUUGUAAAAGCACUGAAGAAACAUCCAGAGCAGCGACUUUCAGCCGAAGUCAGUCUCUGAGCAAGGAUGCAGGACUGGGCAGUACCAUUCAACCUGGCGACGCCCCCCUUUCAGAUCCACACAUGGUAUGCCCCAUGUUUCAAGACCCCUCCUCAGAGCCCAAAGGGAGGCGCCCAGACUCUGCCGAGGAGGAGAGAGAGGAGAGAGAAACUCGGAGAACGCAGGGAGGGGACUCCAGGAAGGAACAGUACAGGUGGAGGCUCGAGCAGCUCCUAGGAAGCCAAGGAGCAGGAGAGCAAGGGUACGAGAGCGACGUGAAUAUGGCGGAGAGUGUCUGCACGGAAGACUUUGCUGCGAAAUUCCGGGAAGGCAUGGUGGAUCCCCAGGUCGACCCAAACGGAGAGCUGGGAAGCGAUACUUCAGAGUGUCUCCCUGAGGAGCCCUUUGCUCCGAGGCGUCUUCGAGAGGGCCCCACCGAGCACCUGCGGAGCGGCACAGAGGCUGAUGAUGAACAGAUGGUGCUGGGGACACCGAGGGGGCGGGAUAACGCCCAGCAGAUCACGCAAGACUCUGAACGCGGCCUCACCUCGGAGGGGCUCGUCAAGGAGAGGUGUGGUUUGGGCCGGAGUCGCCGAGACAGUGAGGAAUCUCUCGGAGGUCGGAUCUCCAGGACGAGUCAGAGUAAUACUUCGGGCAAGGUCAGGAACUUAAGGAUUUCCACCCCUGAGCCAGUAUCCAUGAGCGAAAAUAGGAUGUCCGUCAUUGCUUUACAGAAUGGACAUGUCCAAUCUCUUCCUUGUCUGCCAGCAGCACUUGAUAAGGAGACAGGUCGGGAAAAGACUGGAUUCUCUCCAACACGGAUUUCGGAGGAUCUAUCACUGAGGAUGCCGUCAGUGAGCAGCCUUGAAAACCACCUCCCUGCCCAGCCCGUUCCUGCUGAUGGAAUACCAUCCUCUCUUGCUUUAGAUUCUCAUUUAUCUGUUGGUAAAGAUGAUGAACGACAAGCUCCAGGUCUGUCAGCCCUGGGCUCAAAUCGUUCCCCAGGAGGGAGACUCAUUGCCAUCGAUCCAGGGGUGUCCACACCUCCUUUUGGAGAACUCGGGGAGACGGUAAAGGGGUCCCUGGUGCAAGACCAAAGACACAUGGCGCCUUAUCAGGGUUGUGGAGCUCAGAAAGCUCACCAGCGGUCAAUCAGGAGAUCAGACAGCUGGCCCCCCACAUCGGGAUCCUCCCCUGGGACUGAAGUUAAUGAAGCUUCGGAUACUGGCAGAUCUAUCUUACUUCCUAACGCGAGCGAGCACCCCGACACAGCUGCCGACUCGCAGCGCUGGGGUCAGAGAGCGCCAGUGGCCUCCCUCCUUCCUCCAGCAAUGUCUGUGUCUUAUGAGACGGGUCACAUGGGAACUGGGAGUGCAAUAAGCCAAAACGAAGCUGCUGAAGAACAGUAUGGUUUGAGUCAAACCCCUAACAGCGGUGUGGACAGCACUGUGUCUCCUAGCGUUGCUGGAUUUCACAACACUUCUCGGAAAACUCUGGGAUCUCAAUGCAGCCUGCACACUGUUGGGACUGAAGAAUACGUGGGCACGUUUCCGACCCUGCCUGUCAAACAUGUGGCCGGUGUUCCUGUGAAGAAUUUUGAUGAAGUGACCAUUGACAGCGACCUGGAUUCAGUGAAUACAGCUCGAGUGCGCAAACACGUUCAAAGUGCGCUCCACAACAGCAAAGGUGAGGCCUGGAUUUGAUAGCACCCUCUCCAGCUCACCUCCACCUGAGCCAGCAGAAAGAAUGAUUAGGAGAGGGAAAAGUCUGAUGCUUCUGCAGUUUCCUCCCACAGUCCAAGGGGGAAAAUUGGCCCUGCUGUGAGUGUGUGGUGCCUGUGGAAACCACCUCGGCUCUCUUCACUGCUCAACCACGGAAG
ensembl:lincRNA